rnacentral:miRNA from 1 species
UGCUUUUCUAACGCUCAAGGGCUA